rnacentral:SRP_RNA from 1 species
GCUGGGCAUGGUGGUGCAUGCCUGUAGUCCCAACUACUAGGGAGGCUGAGGCAGGAGACUCGCUUGAGCCCAGGAGGCAGAGGUUGCAGUGAGCUGAGAUCAUGCCACUGCAUUCAAGCCUGGGCAACAGAGUGAGACUCCAUCUCAA